UUUUUCUUAGGCUGUGCUGAGCCCUUCUUUUUCAGCUCUUUGCUUUUUUUCUUUUCUUGGGCAUCGGUUAUGUUUUGUUUUCAUCUUUGCUUGGCUCUUGCUGGAGCAUUUGAGGGAUUCGUUGGAGUCACUGGUUUGUCCUGGCUGUUCCUGGGGAGCUACUCUUUGCUUGUGACCCCCUGAAAGCAGGUUGUGGCUACAGAAGGGGAUCACAUUUGGACUGGUCACUGCUUCUAAAAGUAGAAUGAUGUUUGGAUAUCAAGCUAGAAUGUUUAUUGCAAACAGUAAAACUGGAAAGUAGAAUGUGCCUUCCAGACACUUCCUCCCAGGGAACUCAGCUGUGUUCAAAAAACCUUGGCUUGUGCAAUAAAAUUUCUACACAUUGUAAUAACAAUUUAACAUUGCCAAUGUACCCCUCGGCAUGCCUAGCAAUUAGUUUUGGAUUUCUGUUUCUGCGUGUAUAAAGGUGUCUGUAUGAAUUGAGUUUGAACUUUGCUUCUCUGCUACUUAUCCUACCCUAAUAGAACUCCGAAACAUGUUUGUCUCUUAAAUGGGAUUCUUGGAUUAUAACUACUUAAUAUCAUUAAAGAAACCCUAAAGACCGAAGGUGAAACCUUCAGAUGAAAGAUUCUGCCUUACCUUUAUGAUUAACUUCAUAAUGCAUCUAUAGCCAUAUGACAGUCCCUAUGCACUUUGGACUAAUAACUGUGGCAUAUAUGAAUAUUCUGUAACUUCAGCAGCUUAAACUAUUCCUUCUCCUGAGAAAUGCACCUGAUUGUCUGAGGUUGGUACAAGUUACAAGAUGCAGAGGUCAGAUUACCUGAUUACCCUGUGAAGGAGUGGAGUGAAAAAUAACUCUGUCUAUCUAUCAGCCUUACUGCAACGAUCUGAGAAAUACUGCAAAUUAUUUUCUCAUUGUAAACUGGUUUUCCCAUGGGAAAAGGAAAAUCUAGCCUAAAAGCUAAGGGAAAGCUUUUUUCAUUAACUUCAGUGGUUUUCAUUAUCUAGUAAUUGUUAAUAAACACCUAAUAAAAGUUUUUCACAUUCCUUCACAAUCUUUGCAAAAGCAAAGCGAACAGAAAAUGAAAUGGUGGGGGGGAAAGUAUACGGCAGGGGGAUUUUUAUAUAAACAAAGACUGCUUCCAUAUAGGGAUAAGAAGAUUAAAUUUCUUUAAUAGCUGGGAAAAAGCUUGCUUGCUUUAAAUAACUAUAGAAACUUUCUUUGUGGUUCAACAUUCCAGAGUGAGGCCACAUAAUCUCUCAUUGCAUGUAAAUUGCUGUGUGAAUUAUGUUCUAGUUAUUAAUUUAGAACUUAACUGAGAUUGACUCCAAAGGGGAAAAUAAGGGAGGAAAAUAAUCUCCCUCCAUGCAGCCAUGAAAGAAUUGACCAGAUCUUAGGUCUGGGACCUGAUGUGAAUGAGUAUUGGCAAUGUCAAUUGCUUGGAUUCUUCUCAAGAAAAGGCAAGAGGAGUUGCUGGGAAUAUGUUUAACUUUUUUUGUGUGUCAGCUCAUGUACAUGGAAAUAUGCUGGAUUCCAAAAAACAGUACGGCGGAAAGUGCUGCAAAGUUUAUUCUGAUCCUUCUUAUAAAAGAAUGGAGUCCCCAAGGAUGCAUUGCUUCAAUGACUUUGCCACUGAGUGCUGUUCCCUUUUUUUUCCAAAAAAAGCACCAAUGUUCUGCAUCCUUCCAAAGGCUGGGCUUAGAAGGGAGGUCUAUCACUUAGCAAUUAGCAAUUCAUUAAAAUAAUGUUGUAAAAGUUGAUAAAUACUUUGUUAGCAAUUGCAUUUUUUUCCUUUUUUUUUUUCUGGGUGAUAAGCAACCUAUCUCACUGGAGUGCCAGAAUGUAUAUUUGACUCCUGUUUCUUUAGCUAAGUGUAUGUAAGGAAGUAAGCAUAUGAGUUAAUGUCUCUUUGGUAUGAUUCAGCCUUCAACAGUAUGGAGUUAAUCCAUGAAAUUAUAGGUAUUUUAAGCCUCUGAACAUAAAUUUUCUAAAGUAACUGUGGAAAAGAACUACAUUUAAAAGCAUGAAACUCAUACUUCAAGUUUAGCGGCAAAUAACUUGAAAGAAAAUAUUGCAUUCAAGUGAACAUCAGAAACACAUCUGUAUAUUUUAUUAUACUUCGAAAAUAACCAUGGAUUGCUGAUUGUAGGAAGAAAUACUGUUUCUUCCUGUUCUGAACCAGUGUGUUCUCCUAAACCAUCUGCUGUGCUCUCUAUGCAGAGCUUCAAAGCACUUCUGAGAAAAUAACCUUGCAAAUUUGAGAAAUUAGAUGUGGGCAAAGAAAUGAACAUGUUGAAUCUGAAUAAUGUAAAAUCUCAUUCAAGCUAUUACAUAAGAUGAAUUAAAAAAAGACAGUAGGUCGUUACAGUCCUAUUAUUUACAGUAAUAUUCUUUUUCUUUUUUGAAUAUCCAUAUUAAUUAUCUGUUCUUUUUUUUUAAUUUAGCCUCUCAGAGUCCAUUUGUGCAGUGGUUGAUAGCAAGGUCUACAUAACCAUUUUCGGGAUAGGUUACAACAUCCAUUUAGAGAGUCACAAGUGUGUUUAUAAGUCUUUUUGUGAAGACUUGCUGUAUUUGGCUUUUACUGUGUGUGAUAUAGAAGACAAUAUAUUGUGAUUUCAUGUAAAUUGAACAAUAAUGAGGGGAAAAAUGGAUAUUGGUAACAUGGCAACUGUUUUCUAAUUCUGUUCCUCUUUGUAACUGGGAAAUCCUUUUUGUGCACUGUUUUAGUGUACUGUUUUAUUUUAGCUGUACUCAGACUAUAAUUCUCAAAUAUGUAUGGAUAGAAAACCAGUCAAUAUCAACUAUUUGCUCCACAUAGGUAUAAUCUGUAGUUUUCAUGUCUGUUUGUGUUUAUCAAUCAUAAGUGAUACUGAAUCAGUUUGAGACCAGUUUUGCCAAAUGUGUCAGUAGAAGUUUUGCUACUGACUUCAGUGGAAGAAGAAUGUAGCCAGCACUAAGUGGAAAGGCCAUUUUCCCUCUCUGGAGAUGUUUUGCAGGAUUACGUGAUCAUUUGGUUGAGCUGAGCUCUGGUGUAUGCAGGUCGCUUCAGGAUAUCUUCAUGCUUGUGACCAGAUGGAAAAUGUCUUUUGCAAUCAACAAAAAAACACGCAUUGAAGACAUUUCAAAUUUUUUUGACAUUUGUAAGUAAUUUGCUUUCUACAAAAUUUAAGUGUCCAGAAAUGAUUACAAAUACUUUGCAAUGUGAUUACUUUCAUGGUUCAGGAUAUGCAGUGUCAUAGAAACUCACUUUAUUUUGUUAUGCUCUGAAUCAGCUUGAAGUCAAUCUGUGGUAUGGAUAGCUUUACUGAUGCAUUAUUUGACUUCCAUGUGAAGUAACUUUGUGGUUGCUGAAUCCACUAAUGAAAAUCCAAAAACUACAAAGU
ensembl:lncRNA